CCAGCCUGAGGGAAACCUAGAUAAUAAUAGGUCUGGGCUCCGAGAGGGCCACCCCCAUUCUUAGUUCACACAGCAGGGCAGGAUGUGAACUCUGACCUUCCAAACACCGUGCCCAUGAAGCCUUCUGUCUAUGUCUGACAUCCAUCCCCAUCCGGGCCCUGAGUCCUCCCAACCUUAACAUCAACAGUUUCCUGCUUGGUUUCACUUCCUUCCACUCCAGCACCUAAUAGAUCCGGUGCUAGUAGGUGGGUCUGCUCGGUGUGUUCUUGGCUGUUGUGCCUGGAGUUCAUAGGAACACUGAAAACCCAUGGGCAGCUUGUGUGGGGAUGGAGCAGCCCUGCGCCCAGAGGGAGAAUCCCGGGACAGCGCCUGUGGCUUUCCAGCCCUCCUAUGGUCUCCUUGAAGAGGAAGUGACCACAGUGACUGACGUGCCUAUCACGCGUUCAGGGACGUCCUACAUGGUCUGGAAGCUCCUUCCUGUUGGUCAGAAGGAUGUUGGACGGCAUGCAGUCCCAGCACCUUCCUCUGGAUCUGAAGCUCCCAAUGGGGUCGGACCUGCCUCUGGUAUUUUUGGAAUACCCAGCGUCCCUUCUGGGAGAUUCCUGGCUAAUGGUGGCUGAGAAGAAAUGACCUGUCAUCUGGUUGACGGCCCCUGUCGAGCGGUCUGUCAGUCCUUGCACUCAGCCUAAAUGUCCAAGCAGGACUCCAGCUGGCCUUUUUAGCCUUGAGGCCUCCUUUAGAGCCAGCAGCCUUACCCUGACCUCUGGUAGUCACCUCAUCCAGCUGUCCUCUGAGAAAGGACAGCUCAGAACCUGGAUGCGUGGCUGAGAGGCCUGUGGAGAGGCCCAGCCAUGUGUCUCUUCCCGGUGGCUUAUAACUCCUCUAACGCUGCCCAGCGAGAGAUGUGUGCCCAGAGGCUGCUCCAGUUCAAAGGAAGAAGGGCUCCUUUCAGAUGGAGAAACUGAGGCACGGAGAACUCAGGAGAUGCUUAAACGGAGACUUAAACGGAUGCUUAAACUCAGACUUAAAACGGAGACAGAACCUCAAUAACACCAUCUUAACCAAAGGAUUCUGCGCCACUGUGAGCCCUGGUACGUCCUGAAGGGGGAUUCUGCUGCCAUUCCCACGUGUGCUGUGAGUCAAAGCCCUCAGGUGCCUGGCACGAAGUUUCCAGAGCAGCCAACCAGCUGAUCACAAAUUCCACCGGCACGCUAGACAGAAGAUCUGGGCCUUCUUCGUGUUGGAGCAUAUUUAACAAGCAAGAACACACUGUGAGGCCAUUGUCCAGACAGAUGCGACCAACGCCUGACACGCCAUGGUAGACAGACCCUCGAGCCAAAACAGACCCUUUCUACCCUGAACUGCUUUUGGUACAGUAACAAGACAGUAACUAAUGCAGUUGGCAGGCGCUUUGGAGUACACGGCUGGAGCGUGAGUUUCUGGAAUGUUCUCUAAGGGAAAUCACCACCGUGCUUCUGGCUGCACAGAGGUACACCUGCUGGGAGACAUGCUAUCUAAUCCUGAAGUCUCCACAUCCCUGCAGGCAGUGAAAUUAAGGCU